rnacentral:rRNA from 1 species
AUUGAACGCUGGCGGCAUGCUUUACACAUGCAAGUCGGACGGCAGCACAGAGAAGCUUGCUUCUUGGGUGGCGAGUGGCGAACGGGUGAGUAAUAUAUCGGAACGUACCGAGUAAUGGGGGAUAACUAAUCGAAAGAUUAGCUAAUACCGCAUUUUCUCUGAGGAGGAAAGCAGGGGACCUUCGGGCCUUGCGUUAUUCGAGCGGCCGAUAUCUGAUUAGCUAGUUGGUGGGGUAAAGGCCUACCAAGGCGACGAUCAGUAGCGGGUCUGAGAGGAUGAUCCGCCACACUGGGACUGAGACACGGCCCAGACUCCUACGGGAGGCAGCAGUGGGGAAUUUUGGACAAUGGGCGCAAGCCUGAUCCAGCCAUGCCGCGUGUCUGAAGAAGGCCUUCGGGUUGUAAAGGACUUUUGUCAGGGAAGAAAAGGCUGUUGCUAAUAUCAAUAGCUGAUGACGGUACCUGAAGAAUAAGCACCGGCUAACUACGUG